GGCCCUGUAAGCCACACACUAUUGCCUAAUACUAUAAAAUGCAUUUUCCAGACCUACCUCUUGGAUACGCUGAUCUAACGUUUCACUGUUGAGUCAUUGAGCGUCGAGGCAGUUGACCGUCUGGCAACGCUUUAGGUUUUCUAGCCAGCGGGUGCACUACUACGUGAUUGUAUGACUACUCCGCUGUACUCCGCAUUCGCUGUUCGCUAUGUUUUACUUGGGUGUUGCGCUCUAUAUUUUAUCGUAAAGUAAUCGUGCAAGGCCCAGCGCCGUUCACGAAUAAUGUCGCCGAGAAGACAAUUCGGAAAUUACUUAUGGGACCCGUCCAUCGACGUGCCCAUACGCUCAAAAUAGGUUCAAAAACGUUCAUCAGUCGGUGCUUCGUCUGCCGCGUUGGACAGUGAACUGGGUUCUACUGAUGCAAGUGACCAGAGUUUCUGCGAAAACGAAGCAGACGCUGACGCAGGCCACAUCGCACCAUUCCCUUCAAUUGACGCUGCAACUGAAGACUGUCAUCCAUUGGAAAGCACGCAUGAAACCUUGUCUACCUCGUCGUCUGAGAGCAGCGAAUCGGAAUGUGACGCUGAUUGCGCUGACGUGUAUCCUGACCCCGGCGAGCAGCAUUUUCCGAGAGGCUGGAAGGUUGACUUGGAUGAAGACCUGUUUCCUGGAGCCAAGCUUACGAAAGCCGAAAGCCUCUUAAUGGUCAUGGCCCACAGCUUGCGCCAUGGCUGCUCAAAAGAAGCCACCGAUAGCUUACUGCAGCUUCUCAGAGCUCACUUGCCAGAAGGUGUCGCGUACCCAACAUCAAAGUAUACUUCUUUUUUGACACUUUGCCGGAUCCGAAAAGCAGUAUGCUAAGCACUUAUACUGUAGUGUGUGCUCUGGGUAUAUUGGUGAACUACCAGAAUUACCAGGAAAUGAUGUGGUUGGCAGUCAGUGCAAUGUGAACUAUGCGAGUGGCAGCUUACUGAAAAGCUCAUCAUUUUUUCUUGUAAUGGAUCUGAAGGGCCAAAUUCCAGAUGUGUUACAAUCAGGAAAGCUGCAAUACAGUAGAACAGGCACUUCCUUUGAUGUGUGUGACAUCACAAAAAGAUAUGACUACAAGUUGCCUGUGACUUCGAAUGACAUUACAUUGACAUUGAAUACUGACGGUGUGCCCCUUUUCGAAAGUUCUGAUGCGAGCAUGUGGUCUCUUCUUUUGAUCAUUAGUGAACUGCCAUGCAAAGAAUGUGCACAGACUCUUUUGUUGUCUGGGCUGUGGUUUGGCGCAGGGAAGCUAUCAAUGAACUCUUUUUUGAUACAGUUUGUGAAAACAAUGAAUGAAAUAUCAUCCACUGGAGUUGUUUGGAGGGACAGCAGGGGUGUAUCGCACACGUCAAAGACAUUUCCUGGUCCCCGUACAGUAGACAGCGUUUCCAAAUGUGAACUAACUAGUAUGACACAAUUCAACAGUGCUUAUGGUUGUGCAUCGUGUGAGGACUCUGGGCAGGUUGCCUCCACAUUCUGGAAGUGGAAAUGUAGGCGGUACCAGAGGAAAAGAUUGUUGCUGCAACAAUACGUCGAGCUGCAACGGGAAGGGUUUUGUCGCGUGUGUCUGCCAAGUGCUUCUGCAAACAAGCUCAGAACACGAGCCAUUUUUGUACCAUGCACAAAAGGCCGUGCAGGCCCCUAGUUGUGGCAUCAAAGUAGCAAGUGUGCUGACACUUCUUUCAUUUUUUUUUUCAUUUAGUGAGGCCUUUGUAGUACACUACGUGCAUGCCGUUUGUUCUGGUUUUGUUCGGGCAACAAUGUUUAUGUGGCUGAAGUCUAGACAGUGCCACCGAUUUCAUCUAUGCCGACAUCUUCCUGAUGCAGACAAAUGUCUUCUGAGCCUCACCCCCAUAUGGGAGCUCACGAGGCUGCCAAGGUCUUUAAAGGACAUAAAGGAGUGGAAAGCUGCCGGUUGGAGGAAUUGGCUGCUGUUUUGUUUCCUGGUCACAUUAAUAGGACGCAUUCUAGAAAGACAGUACAACCAUUAGUUGAAAUUUUUUGUGAUCAUGCAUUACCUUCUUGACCCUUGCAUCUGCAUUCAGGAGCUUGCUACAGUUAGGAGAAAGAUGAAGUUUCUUCUUGAGUACCAGGAAUUGUACGGUAUCAAGUACGUGACAUAUAAUGCUCUCCUCUUUUGCAUGUUGUCGACAGUGCCGUAAACUGGGGUCCUUUGUGGAGUCACCCUCUUUUUCCAUUUGAAUUUAUGAAUGGUACACUUAGACGCUAAGUCAAUGGCAUCAGAUAUCCACAAUUUCAGAUUGCCAACUGUAGCUGGCAAAAUUAGAUGUUUGCGUAAUAUUUUGUUUGAGAUAAGUGAGUGAUAGUUGUCCAAAUGGCAUGGUGAAGUAACAUUUUCCUUAAACUACAUAAUAAAAGAUGAGUAAUAUGAGAUGCCAUCAAAGGGCUUUAGACUUGCUUUAGCUAUUCGCUGUCUGGAAGUUGCUCACAAGACCUUACAGUCACUUUCAUCGCUUGUUACAAAAUGAAUACUGCAGCUGCAUUUUGAUUUUCCAACACCAUAGAAAAUGUUACAUUACCUUGCAACAGAGUUCAGUUUUGUUGGAAAGCUCUAUGGACUCUUUUGAAUUAAGCACAUCCUAUUUAACCAUGCUUGCUUUUGUUAAGUUAUUACGUGAUGUUGUGCCACAUUUUUAUGCUUUGUUAUGAUGUGUGCUGUGAGCAAAAGUGAUAUAUACAGAUUUUUUUCAUGUAUAGUAUGCUUUUGUACACUUUUACGAUGCCUGUAAAUAAUAAAGAGCAUUAUAUGUCUGG